GACGAACGCUGGCGGCGUGCUUAACACAUGCAAGUCGAACGGAAAGGCCCUGCUUUUGUGGGGUGCUCGAGUGGCGAACGGGUGAGUAACACGUGAGUAACCUGCCCUUGACUAUGGGAUAACUUCAGGAAACUGGGGCUAAUACCGGAUAGGAGCUCCUGCUGCAUGGCGGGGGUUGGAAAGUUUCGGCGGUUGGGGAUGGACUCGCGGCUUAUCAGCUUGUAGGUGGGGUAGUGGCUUACCAAGGCUUGGACGGGUAGCCGGCCUGAGAGGGUGACCGGCCACAGUGGGACUAAGAUACUGCCCAGACUCCUACGGGAGGCAGCAGUGGGGAAUAUUGCACAAUGGGCGGAAGCCUGAUGCAGCAACGCCGCGUGCGGGAGGACGGCCUUCGGGUUGUAAACCGCUUUCGCCUGUGACGAAGCGUGAGUGACGGUAAUGGGUAAAGCAGCACCGGCUAACUACGUG
rnacentral:rRNA from 1 species